rnacentral:rRNA from 1 species
AGAGUUUGAUCCUGGCUCAGAACGAACGCUGGCGGCAGGCCUAACACAUGCAAGUCGAACGGGAUCUUCGGAUCUAGUGGCGGACGGGUGAGUAACGCGUGGGAACGUGCCCUUUGGUUCGGAAUAGCCCUGGGAAACUGGGAGUAAUACCGGAUACGGUCGAGAGACGAAAGAUUUAUCGCCGAAGGAUCGGCCCGCGUUGGAUUAGGUAGUUGGUGGGGUAAUGGCCUACCAAGCCGACGAUCCAUAGCUGGUUUGAGAGGAUGAUCAGCCACACUGGGACUGAGACACGGCCCAGACUCCUACGGGAGGCAGCAGUGGGGAAUCUUAGACAAUGGGGGAAACCCUGAUCUAGCCAUGCCGC